rnacentral:rRNA from 1 species
GACGAACGCUGGCGGCGUGCUUAACACAUGCAAGUCGAACGGAAAGGCCCUGCUUUUGUGGGUUGCUCGAGUGGCGAACGGGUGAGUAACACGUGAGUAACCUGCCCUUGACUUUGGGAUAACUUCAGGAAACUGGGGCUAAUACCGGAUAGGGGCUCCUGCUGCAUGGUGGGGGUUGGAAAGUUUCGGCGGUUGGGGAUGGACUCGCGGCUUAUCAGCUUGUUGGUGGGGUAGUGGCUUACCAAGGCUUUGACGGGUAGCCGGCCUGGGAGGGUGACCGGCCACAUUGGGACUGAGAUACGGCCCAGACUCCUACGGGAGGCAGCAGGGGGGAAUAUUGCACAAUGGGCGGAAGCCUGAUGCAGCAACGCCGCGUGCGGGAUGACGGCCUUCGGGUUGUAAACCGCUUUCGCCUGUGACGAAGCGUGAGUGACGGUAAUGGGUAAAGAAGCACCGGCUAACUACGUG